UCCGAUAUGGUGUAGUGGCCAACAUGAUGCCCUCUCAAGUCCGAUGAGAGGUUAGGCAUAGCCCCGAGUUCGAUUCUCGGUUUCGGAA